rfam:Medicago truncatula strain A17 chromosome 3, whole genome shotgun sequence.
AUGCGAUGUGACAUGCCCGUUUAGGUUUUACUCUAAUGUUGAAUUAUUAUUAUUUAAUUGAUUUUGGGAAACGGGGUGUUACAUCUGCA